UUGUUCCUGCAGGCAGAAGAAGGCAGCCGCUUUAAUUCACAGUUACACUGCUCUCUAUGUGAGCUCAUCUCCAGGCUUUUUUGCACAAGCAUAGCGCCCAAUUGUGUGUGCAGUCAUUCAUGCUGGCGUGUGCCCCCUCUGCCCCGUCUGAAAUGCAUUGAAGGUGCUAAAGAUGAAGGAAAGGAUCAAAUAGUUUGUUCCAGUGCACGCCAUGCUCUAAUUUGCAAAUAUGAUGAUUUAGAAAAAAUACUUCGGCUUGCACCUGCUGUUACUUCAAACUCAAUGGAUCACAAGAUUCUAGAAUUCUGGAUUUAAACGGACCCUCAAUCCUUUGAACAGCUAGACAUAGAAAGACUUGAUCCACCUGUGCAUCGUUGGUUGAAUGUGAAGAUCAUUUUGUAUUAUUACCGGUUUUCACCUGGUAAGUAAAAUGAAAUAUGAACACAUAGACUUGGAUGUCUUGGAUGUUCUCCUGACUUUUUUGUUUUUUUUUUCUUAUAUUGUACAUUAAUCUCUUUAUAUCUGGAUAUUCCAUAUCCAUUAUGGCUUAAUAUGAGGACUGUGAUGUAAUAGUGUGCUGAUGAGGAAGAUGUUUGCUGGUCCAUCAACACUAGUUAACGUUGUUUUGCAGUGCUUUACAUGUAAUUGAAUAACAGAAAAGUGAUUCCACUAAUGUUACCCGCUCAACUGAAUUUCUCUUGUUGUUUUUUUAAGGCUGUUUUAUACAUUUACAACCUUUCAUAUUGAUAUUGCUUUGUUUAUAGGAGCUGUUUAGAUGUUUAAUUACUGUAAUUGGUUUAUGGUCACUGAACAAUGAGUUUGUAGGCAAAUUGUGGUGACUU